rnacentral:lncRNA from 12 species
AUGGGCUUGCCCGUGGCCCUAUCUCAAGUCAGAAAGAGAGCCGGGCCUAAACCUUGGGGUCCUCUCCCUUGGUCCCCUCUGUCUCCCUCUGCUACAUUUUGUCAACAAAAAAAUAGCUUCUCUGCAAACUUCAAGUUAGGAGUGAAUGGAAAAUGUGCUCAGUGUUCAAAAAUGAGUCUUGACAACCUUGUUCCCUCCAGGCAUCCUCUGCUCAGAGGGCAGCUAUUUACAAGAAGCUCUGGGCAGAGCCAUGAGCCAGGCUGUGACGUAGGAGCCAGAUGGCCAAGGGGAGAAGAGAAUCCCUCCCAGCCAGUCAUUCUGCCACCUGCUCUGGAGCUGGAGACAGUCUGUACCCAUCCCUGCAGACAUCAACUCCCCAAAUGGUGUUUCCCAAAAAGCCAUUUGAAUGACAUGUUUCUCCACCAUGUUUCAAAUAUUGUUAUAAAUAAAUGGAUGGCCAUGACAGAGGACAUUUGUCUGCAGCUCUCCAUUUUCUGUGCUAAACUAACACAAUUCAAUGACAAGCACUGUUUUGGGGCCCCUACGCAGUGCUUGGGCACUGUGGCAGGCAUUGCAGAUACAGAGAAAGCACUGCCCCCAAAAGCACACCCAGCCUCAUGGCAGAAGCGGACACAUAAAGUAAGGAGUGAAAGAUGUGAUCAAUGCCACCCCUGAAGGCACAGGGGCAACCUCCCUGCCAUGCUAUGAAGAGUCACCAGGUUCCACGUGAACAAGAUUGGGAAGGUCGUCUCAGCAGGAGGCACAGCACGGGCAAGUGUGCCGGAGGGAAAGAGAGGUAGCACUAGCGCUGGGUGUAGGGCUGUGGGCAGAGAAGCAGCAUGGAAGGGGUGGAGAGAGCGAGCAGUGGCCACGCUGUGCCAGGGCCCAGGGGCUGGGCCGUGCCUCCACCCUGCCAACGAUGAGGCCCCCGGGAGCUGUAUCACAGACAUCUU